GGCCGGUGAUCCACUCCAGAUACGGGAUGUCGGGGUCUCCGGUCGACCGGAGACCCCGACAUCCCGUAAGUCGAGUCGAUCACCGUCC
rnacentral:pre_miRNA from 1 species